rnacentral:pre_miRNA from 1 species
AUCACCAGGGGAUCCUGGUAAAUUCAAAUUCGGAUUCAGUAGAGCAUGGGACCUGAGAAUCUGCAUUUCUAACAAAUUCCCAGGUUA